CCUGACCGUGCAAAGGUAGCGCAAUCACUUGCCCUUUAAUUAGGGGCUAGUAUGAACGGUUACACGAGGGUUUUACUGUCUCCUAAGGCUAAUCAAUGAACUUGAUGAUUCAGUACAAACGCUGAAAUAAAGCCACAAGACGAGAAGACCCUGUGGAACUUUAAGUUUCUGCCAGCGGACCAAAGAGCCUUUCCCCCCCCCC
rnacentral:rRNA from 1 species